rfam:Triticum aestivum genome assembly, contig: Triticum_aestivum_CS42_TGACv1_scaffold_488649_6AS
CAAGUACUCCCUCCGUCCGGAAUUACUUGUCAUCAAAAUGGAUGUGUCUAGAACUAAAAUACAUCUAGAUACAUCCAUUUCAAUGACAAGUAUUUUCGGACGGUGGGAGUACAAG